UGGGGAAUUUUGGACAAUGGGCGAAAGCCUGAUCCAGCAAUGCCGCGUGUGUGAAGAAGGCCUUCGGGUUGUAAAGCACUUUUGUCCGGAAAGAAAUCCUUGGCUCUAAUACAGUCGGGGGAUGACGGUACCGGAAGAAUAAGCACCGGCUAACUACGUGCCAGCAGCCGCGGUAAUACGUAGGGUGCAAGCGUUAAUCGGAAUUACUGGGCGUAAAGCGUGCGCAGGCGGUUUGCUAAGACCGAUGUGAAAUCCCCGGGCUCAACCUGGGAACUGCAUUGGUGACUGGCAGGCUAGAGUAUGGCAGAGGGGGGUAGAAUUCCACGUGUAGCAGUGAAAUGCGUAGAGAUGUGGAGGAAUACCGAUGGCGAAGGCAGCCCCCUGGGCCAAUACUGACGCUCAUGCACGAAAGCGUGGGGAGCAAACAGGAUUAGAUACCCUGGUAGUCCACGCCCUAAAACGAUGUCAACUAGUUGUUGGGGAUUCAUUUCCUUAGUAACGUAGCUAACGCGUGAAGUUGACCGCCUGGGGAGUACGGUCGCAAGAUUAAAACUCAAAGAAUUGACGGGGUCAUAGCUGUUUCCU
rnacentral:rRNA from 1 species